rnacentral:tRNA from 1 species
GCCGCCGAGGUUGGACCUAGCCUGGUGUUUGUCACCCCGGAGCUGUGGGUUCGAUCCCCACCGGCGGCU